rnacentral:tRNA from 1 species
GGGAAUGGCUGGGGCUCUGGUGGCCCUCGCGGACUUCAAAUCCGUUGCGGUGCGGUCUCCGCGCCGGGUGGGUUCGAUUCCCACACAUUCCCGCCA